UUUAUUUUAAAAUGCUGCAUCAUUUGUCCUGCGUGAAUGGCAUCCAGCUUGGAGAAGGUGCCUUGAGAUUUGCCGGAGACUGUAUCAAUCUAUUCAUUUCAGUGGACCUCCCUCAUAUCUCCUAGUCCCAUCAGAGAACUAACUGUGUUAGGAUAUCUGUAGACGAGUGAACAUGGCCAGAGGAAAUGGAGCCAUCCCACUGAUGUCUUCUAGUAGAUGCUCAAUAAACUUAUAUUGAACAAAGCUGGAGAAUUGUGGCUUUAUUCUCUGAAUAUGUGAUUUUCUCUUUUCUUACUGAGCUAGAAAACCAAACUGAUAUCCACGUACUUUUUUUUUUUUUUUUUUUGGUUACACCUGUGGCAUAUGGAAAUUCCUAGGGAUUGAAUCUGUGCCACAGCAGUGACCCAAGCCACUGCAGUGACAGCCGGAUCCUUAACCCACUGCACCACAAGGGAACUCCAAUAUCCAUGUACUUUCAACCAAACCGUGUCUCUUCUGGUGAAGGUAUUAUUAUUUUAAAGUUGGAAUGAAAUAUAAAAGAGAAAACACUUUCGAGCAAAUAAAGUUAAAUUUACUAUAAAAUGUUGUACUUCACCAAAACUAAGGAUAUUGAUUUUUUUGCCUGUUUUCUCCGUUUACAAUUCUAUGGUAAUUAAUAAAAUAAGGGCACUGAUAAAAAAUGUUCUUAUGGCUCAAUAAACAUUAGCUUCACUAGUUAACUCAUAUUAGGGCUUCCUUAUUAAGAGUGUGCGAUUUUGAAUUUUUAAUGGAAAGCACCCACCUUGGUCUCUGUCUUAUUUAUCUCUGUAUCAUCAGUAUAUGGGAGUCACAUUCCUGUCAGUGGAUUUCAUGGUCAUGACUUCUUCAGAAAUGCUGUGUACCACGUUGUUGUGAGUUUUCCUCCCAGUGAAAGUAUCUUCAAGUUAAUUUUGAGAAUAGCAGCAAUAAUGACAGAUUCCUACCGAUGGAAGUUAAUGAAGACAACAAGGGCCUGGCCUCCUGUUCUAGUUACUAUUGUACUGUAACAAAUUACCUGAAGCUUAGGGACAGAAAGCAACUGUUUCAUGAUGCUAAUAUAUUGUUGGUUUGACAUUUGGAAAGAGCCUAGGGGAAUAUCUUGUCUCUGUUGUGCAGUAUCUGGAACUUCAGUUGGGAGGAUUCGAUGGCUGGGGAACUGGUAUUAUCUGAAGGCUGCUUUGCUAACAUGACUGGCAGCUGACACUGCUUUCAGGCGGGAUCUCCGCUGGGGCCAGAGGCCAGAACACCUCAACAUUAACUCUCCAUGUGGCUGUUUGAGCUUCCUCAUAGCACAGUUGCCUGGGUUCCAACAGCAAGUGCCCCACGGGAACCAGGCAGAAGUUGUAUCAUCUUUUAUGAUCUGGCCACACAGUUCCCUAUUGGGUCAUGUCAGCCCUUGUCACAAGCCUGCCCAAAUUCCCAUGGAGACUGUCAAGACCCACUCCUCAAUGGGAAGAAUGUCGGCAUUUCCUUGAAAGGGGGCCACGUGCAUGGGAAAUAGCAUGGGCAUCUUGGGAAAACACAACCUACAAAACACAUCUCCACUCUGGGCAAGGAGGGAUGCAAGCCACAUCUCUGUGUCCCGUGCAUUUCCAUGGCUCUGUGCUAUAGUUUGGCUGCUUCCCCCAUAUUUUACAGAGUGUGUGAUUCGUUAAGUAUUACACACCUCAAAUACUGAAAAGAGACCCUGGUUUUCCUUCUCCCUAACCCCUUUCCUGAGAAAUUUUGCAUGCCUUGCAGAUAUCUACUUUGCCUUGAAGAGAAAGUAAGGCACGAUUAGAGAUGCAUUUCUGGGACAAAUGAAAAUAGGAAGAAAAUCUUUUAGAAGAAGAGACAAAUGGGACAGAGGGAUUCUGAGAAUCAAUCCUCAGGGAAAAUAGAGCUGUUACAGACCCAGGAUUAGUAAACAAACACGUCGGGGCCUAAAUAUUUUGGAAGCUUUAUUGAAGGAAUUGAAGUACAAUGAACUGCCCACAUUUAAAGUAUGUUCUUUUAGCAAAUAUAUGAACAAGUGAAACCAUCAGCUCAGUCAAGAUAGUGAGCAUAUUCAUCAGCCCCCAGAUUUCCCCCGUCCUUCCUUCCUCUGCUCCCUGUCCCUUUGCUGGCCGAUUCCUAGACAACCACUGAUAUGCUAUCUGUCUUUCUAGAUUAAUUUGAAUUUUCUGGGCAUUUGUAUCAUUGGAAUCCUGCAAUAUGUUUAGAAGUGUCCAUUGCCUGUUGAUGGAUGUUGGAGCGGUUUACACUUUGGGGCUGUGACAAACAAAGCUGCAGUGAACAUUUGUGUACACAUCUUUGUAUGGACAGAGGUACUCAUUUCUUUUGCAUAAAAAAAGGUAGCCGUGGAAUGUCUGUAGCACGUGGGAGAUGUAUGUUUAGAUUUUAAGACACUGCCCAGUUGUUUUCUAACAAGGUUGUAGCAUUACAUUCCCAUUAGCUCUGUGGGAGAGUUUCACUUCCUCUGCAUCCUGUCCAAUGCGUGGUGUGCAUAGUCAUCCGAAUUGCUGUCCUGGGCAGGUGCAAAUGACCUAUUGCACAGCCAAAGGAGAAUUCUAGUUAGGGUGAUCUCAUGGGCCGUGGCUUUCAACUUUGGACUUUUAUUGCAAAAUACAAAGUCCAGAGUCCUCAACACUCAUUCAAAAUACUUAUGCCUGGUUCCCAUUCCGGAGAUUCUGAUUUAACUGGUCCGGGGGUACAGAUUUGACACCACGAUUUUUAAAAGCUCACAGCAGACUCUAGUUUACAGCUGAGAUUGUAAACCAAGGUGUGAUGGUUAAUUUUGUGUGUCAGCCACUGAGCUGGCCAGAGAGUUGGUUAAAUAUCAUCCUGGGCGUGUCUCUGAGUGGUUUUCAGAUGAGAUUAGCAUGGGGAUGAGUAGACUAAGUAAAAAGCAGAUUGCCUCCUACUAGAGGUGAGCCUCAUCUUCCAUUGGAAGGCCUAAAUAGAAUAAAAAGCCUGACACCUUCCCUCAAAAAAGAGGGAAGUCUUCCCACUUGAAAGCUUUAGUGGGGAUAAAAGUAUUUUUCUUGCUUUCAGAUUUGAAUGGAAACAUUGGCAGUUCUUGGGUCUUGAGCCUGCUGGCUCUUGGACUGGAAUUUAUGCUAUUGGCUCUCCUGGACUUUUAGCUUGCUAACCUCUGAUCUUGGAACUUCUCAGCCUCCAUAAUUGCUUAAGCCCAUUUCUCUCUCUUCCUCCCUCUCCCCACAUCUUGUUGGUUCUAUAGAAAGCCCUGACUCAUACACAAGGAUUUAGGUCUAGCUUCUUGCCAGGUCCAACACUGACAUAUCAUUUCAGGAUAGAUUUCAGACCCUCCAAAAUAAUGAGCAGUUAUUCUCCUAGCCUCUCAGUUUUCUGCCUUGAUCCUGAAUGUGGAGAAUGGUGUGGAAGAAUGUGGGCUUCCGAGGGUGGGAUAAUAGACGACAAGAGCCUCUAUUGCCAUGAUGCUGAAUGACAGGAAACGUGCUAUAGGAGGUACGGGGGGACAUGAAGGUGCCUGAUCCCAGAAGCACGUCUCACAUCGGUCUGGAUGUGGCAUAUGCUCAUUGACGUUAGGAUGCAGGAUAGCUGGCCUGGAAAAUGUUGAAAGAUUGGGCGAGUGAAUUCUUCAAAAGCAUACCCUUCAGCAGAGGUCCUGUGAUAUUUGAGAGGCUAUAGUGAUGGAUAGAUAUAUGCUGAAAGAUCAUAAAGAAUUCUCAAGAUUAAAAUGAAGGCGUGUAAGCUAAGAAUGAGAGGGAAAUCAGGCUGAGCAUAAAUAAUGUGAAAUCAUAUCUGUCUCUGGCAUUGGGAUGUUUUGCCAUUUGUGGGGGAGAACUAGCAGCAAAAUCCCCCCAGUCAGCACAGGCUGUUACCCAGUUACUGUCAGGAGAGACAUAAAUUGCAGUGUGGAAAUUAGCUCAGUUCAUUCCUUGCUGAUGCUGGAAAGACUGUUGACCUGUGUGCAGCAUGUAUUUUUAUACUCAAACAGGGAGUGAUUUUGUCAUGUUUGUCAGAGUCAGCGUUCAUAAACCGUUUGUCAUCUUCUGAUCACAGGGUUUGCAUUAUUUAAACUGAAAAUGUAAAUUACUUCUUUUGUGUUUUUCCAGAUGAUUGAACAAAUGCAGCAUUUGAAAGGUCUGGCUUACUCUGCCUCUUGCAUUGCACACACACACACACACACACACACACACACAUACUAGUUAUUUCUAUGAUAAUUAACUGUUUAUUUGUGUCUAUGGGAGAGGUAGGCAGGGAGAACGACAUCAUUGAAAACAAACCAUUUCAUAUUUUGGAUGCCAAACCUGCUGGAAACCAAAAUGUUUUCUCAGUGAGCGAUGAGACAGCUGAGUCUAGAUGAACUCAGUUUUCCAGUCCAGGGGUCCAAAUAGUGUGAAGAAGCUCUCUGAAAGUCAUGUGGGGCUGAGAGAAUUUGGCUUUCUAACUUUAGAAUGAUCCAUGCGAAAUUCUUUCCCUAGCUAUCAGUAGUUCACAAAAUUCGAAAAAGACUCUUAGGUUCUGUGUCAUGCCUAACCUACUGCUUAUGGUCAUCUUUAUCCUUUGAUAUUUUCCUCCUUCGAUGUUUCAGUUCCAGCAGGUGCAUUUAUACAUUAGAUUAGAAACUCAAGUGUAAUUGAAUUCAUUUUUGAAAGUCUUUUUGGAUUAUUCAUUUAUUUGAAUAAUUUCUAGAGUAAUUUUUGGAAUUAGAAACUCUUGGUUUGAUAUUACUUUGACUACCAAAACAUUCCUCUGGCAUUAAAAACAUUUUAGGUGUAAAAUAUAUGCCAAUCAUUAGGUCUCCAUCUGUGAUACGUGAUAUGGUUCAUGAAGAGAGCGCCUCAUGGAUUGGAAAGUUAACUAACUGGGGCAGUUGGGUUGCUUUGACGUGGGUUGCUUUGCUCCUAAACAGGGUGACUGUGUAUGGAACACAAGAUCAAAAGCCCAGGUCCUUAAUGGACUAAGGGUGGGAGCUGUCCAGGAAAUUGCUUGCACACAUUUCCGAAUUUCCAUGUUGGAUCAUAUCUCCUAGUUUUUGCAUGCAAAAGCAUGAAUAUAUCCAAGUCACUCAGGACAUGUAAAUAGAAUAUUCCACUACCUCUGUCUUGGUGUACUUGGGCUGGGUUUACCAUAGCCUGGGUGGCUUAAAGCACAAACACUGACUUCUCAUGGGUCUAGAGGGUGGAAAGUCAGGACCGAGGUGCCGGCAGAAUGGUUUCCUGGUUUGCACGUGGCCAUAUCCUCAUGUAGCGGAGAGCAGGGAGGGGAAGCAAGUUCUUUUUAGUGUCUUCUAGUAAGGGCACCUUUAUGCCCUAGUUACUUCCCAAAGGCUGUAUCUCCAUAUUGGCAUAUAAAUUUGGGCGGGUGGCAAAAACAUUCAGUCCAUAGCAAAACCCUCUUUAUCACGUGUCUUUUCAAACAGAUUCAUUAUCCAUUUGGGUUAAGGAUAUCAGUCUAUCAUAUGUAUUAUUUUUUGUCUCUCCAAAGACCCCAUUAAAUGGAGAACAGACUUCCCAAGGGGGAAGAGGGAGGUAGUGGGGUGGAUGGGGAGUUUGGGAUUGGUAGAUGGAAACUAUUACAGUUAGAAUGGAUAAGCAUUGAGGUCCUACCGUACAGCGCAAGGAACUGUGUCCAAUCUCUUGGGAUAGAAGAUGAUGGGAGAUGAUAUGAGACAAAUAAUGUAUAUGUGUAUGAAUAGGUUGCUUUGCUGCAUAGCAGAUAUUGACAGAACAUUAUAAAUCAACUGUAAUUUUAAAAAUUAAAAAAAAAACAAAGACCCCAUUAAAAUGACAGUAAAGGGUCAGAAGGGCGAUAAACUUACAGGGACAAAGUGAAGUGGGGAGUCUGAGUCCGAGUGGUUUCGAUGGAAAGCAGGUGGGGAGAGGGUAACUGGUAGAGAGGAGUUUCAAGCCCCUGCACCAGCUGGGUGUGGGGCGGUGAGGAGAUGGACUUGGUUCCCACUGCAGCCCAGAGUAUCAGACCAGGCAUUCACUCCUAGGUUGGAGGAGAGACUGCAAGUUGCAAGGGAAAAGCCCUCCACGCAUGGUAUCUGGCAACCCCAGAGCACCGGGCAUUCCUGCUUCCCUUGUCCUGCCAUGAGUCCUGUGAAGGCAGACCCUGUGCUCAGGCCCAGAGCUGCUGGUCAGCCUCUUAAUAUUUCCUUAAAAUCAACAGAAAGAAUAAUGAGUAAGAAAAUGACCAUCAGUAUAGCAUAAACCAGUUUUAUCAGCUCUAAACCUUUUGUCUUCUUUAUUUAAGACUUGUAGGGAGUGAGUUCCUGUCGUAGCGCAGCGGGAAUGAAUCUGACUAGAAACCAUGAGGUUGUGGGUUUGAUCCCUGGCCUCACUCAGUGGGUUAAGGAUCGGUGUUGCUGUGAGCUGUGGUGUAGGUCACAGACGCGGCUCGCAUCUGGCGUUGCUAUGGCUGCGGCAUCAGCCGGCAGCUGUGGCUCCGAUUAGACCCCUAGCCUAGGAACCUCCAUACGCUGUGGGUGCAGCUCUAAAAAGGCAAUAAUAAUAAUAA
rnacentral:lncRNA from 1 species